UACAGAGGUCCCAAGCGUUGUUCGGAUUCACUGGGCGUAAAGGGUGCGUAGGCGGUCGGGUAAGUCUGAUGUGAAAUCUCACAGCUUAACUGUGAAACUGCAUUGGAUACUAUUCGGCUAGAGAGUUGGAGGGGAGACUGGAAUUCUUGGUGUAGCAGUGAAAUGCGUAGAUAUCAAGAGGAACACCAGUGGCGAAGGCGAGUCCCUGGACAACUUCUGACGCUGAGGCACGAAAGCUAGGGGAGCAAACAGG
rnacentral:rRNA from 1 species